UACGGAGGGAGCUAGCGUUGUUCGGAAUUACUGGGCGUAAAGCGCGCGUAGGCGGCUUUUUAAGUCAGAGGUGAAAUCCCGGGGCUCAACCCCGGAACUGCCUUUGAAACUGGAGAGCUAGAAUCUUGGAGAGGUCAGUGGAAUUCCGAGUGUAGAGGUGAAAGUCGUAGAUAUUCGGAAGAACACCAGUGGCGAAGGCGACUGACUGGACAAGUAUUGACGCUGAGGUGCGAAAGCGUGGGGAGCAAACAGG
rnacentral:rRNA from 1 species